rnacentral:rRNA from 1 species
UGGUUAUGACCGUCUAAGUGUCUAGUCUUCGGACGAAGCAUUAAUGAAACUGCCUUUACAGGCGGAAUUCUGGUAACCCAUGCUGACAGGAAAAGCUUAACUAUGUCAUGUCUUAGCCGACCGUACCGCAAACCAACACAGGUACUCAGGUCGAGUAGACCAAGAUGUGCGAGAGAACCCUCGUUAAGGAACUCGGCAACAAAAGCGACCGUAACUUCGGGAUAAGGUCUGCCUUUCACCGUUUACGGUGAAAGGUCGCAGCGAAAGAGUCCACGCGACUGUUUAUCAAAAGCACAGGUCUCUGCUAACACGAAAGUGGAUGUAUAGGGGCUGACGCCUGCCCGGUGCUGGAAGGUUAAGGAAGUUGGUGUAUGCUGACGACUGAAGCCCCAGUGAACGGCGGCGGUAACUAUAACCGUCCUAAGGUAGCGAAAUUCCUUGUCAGGUAAGUUCUGACCCGCACGAAUGGCGCAACGAUGUGGACGCUGUCUCAACGAGGGACUCGGUGAAAGUGCAAUGGCGGUAAAGAUGCCGUCUGUCCGCAUCAGGACGAGAAGACCCCGUGGAGCUUUACUACAGCUUGACAUUGGGUCGAGUGGCAGUUUGUGCAGGAUAGGUGAGAGACUUUGAAGCAGAUACGCUAGUAUUUGUGGAGUCACCCGUGAAAUAUCACCCCUGCUGUCAUUUGGCUCUUACUCUGACCGUUAUCCGGUCAGGGGACCGUGUCUGGUGGGUAGUUUAACUGGGGCGGUUGCCUCCUAAAUAGUAGCGGAGGCGUUCAAAGGUUGGCUUAGCUCGGAUGGAAAUCGAGUGGAAAGUGUAAGCGCACAAGCCAGCUUGACUGUGAGUCAUACAUGACAAACAGGUACGAAAGUAGGAGCUAGUUGUCCGCUGUCCGAACAUUUAUGUUCAAGGUAGUGGUACCGGCAGCGCUAACGGAUAAAAGUUACCCCGGGGAUAACAGGCUUAUAGCGCCCAAUAGUUCACAUAGACGGCGCUGUUUGGCACCUCGAUGUCGGCUCAUCACAUCCUGGGGGAGAAGCAUCUCCCAAGGGUUCGGCUGUUCGCCGAUUAAAGUGGUACGCGAGCUGGGUUCAGAACGUCGUGAGACAGUUCGGUUUAUAUCCGAUGCGGACGAGUUGGAAAUUUGAGUGAAGUUGCCCCUAGUACGAGAGGACCGGGGUGAACGAACCGCUGGUGUACCAGUUGUCAUACCAAUGGCAUCGCUGGGUAGCUAAGUUCGGAGUGGAUAAGUGCUGAAAGCAUCUCAAGCACGAAGCCCUGCACAAGAUUAGAUUUCCCCAUGAGACCCCAGAAAGACUAUCUGGUUGAUAGGUGCACGGUGUAAGCGCAGUAAUGCGUUGAGCCUAAGCAUACUAACGGUCCAUUGAACC